rnacentral:rRNA from 1 species
AUACGUAGGGGGCGAGCGUUGUCCGGAAUGAUUGGGCGUAAAGGGCGCGUAGGCGGCGCGGUAAGUCUGGAGUGAAAGUCCUGCUUUCAAGGUGGGAAUUGCUUUGGAUACUGCCGCGCUUGAGUGCAGGAGAGGUUAUCGGAAUUCCCGGUGUAGCGGUGAAAUGCGUAGAGAUCGGGAGGAACACCAGUGGCGAAGGCGGGUAACUGGACUGCAACUGACGCUGAGGCGCGAAAGUGUGGGGAGCAAACAGGAUUAGAUACCCUGGUAGUCCACACUGUAAACGAUGAAUGCUAGGUGUAAGAGGUAUCGACUCCCUCUGUGCCGCAGUUAACACAAUAAGUAUUCCGCCUGGGGAGUACGGCCGCAAGGUUGAAACUCAAAUGAAUUGACGGGG